rnacentral:rRNA from 1 species
GACGAACGCUGGCGGCGUGCUUAACACAUGCAAGUCGAACGGCAACGCCCUGAUUUCGUGCGGUGCCCGAGUGGCGAUCGGGUGCGUGACACGUGUGUAACCUGAUCUUGAUUUUCGGAUAACUUCAGGAAACUGAGGCUACUAUCGGAUCGGAGACCCCGUUGCAUGGUGGGCGUUGGAACGUUUCGGCGGUUGGGGAUGGAUUCGCGGCUUAUCAGCUUGUUGGUGGGGUAGUGGCUUACCAAGGCGUUGACGGGUAGCCGGCCUGAGAGGGUGACCGGCCACACUGGGACUGAGGUACGGCACAGACGCCUACGAGAGGCAGCAGUGGGGAAGAUUGCACAAGGGGCGGAGGGCGGAUGCAGCAACGCCGCGUGCUGUAAAGCGGCCUUCGGGGGAUAGACCGCUUGCGCCUGAAACGAAGGGUGAGUGACGGGAAUGGGUAGAGUAACACCGGCUAACUACGGU